GUUAGUGGCAGACGGGUGAGUAAUGCGUAGGAAUCUACCUAGUAGUACGGAAUAGCCAUUAGAAAUGGUGGGUAAUACUGUAUAAUCCCCGAGGGGGAAAGAUUUAUCGCUAUUAGAUGAGCCUACGUUAGAUUAGCUAGUUGGUGAGGUAAUGGCUUACCAAGGCUAUGAUCUAUAGCUGGUCUGAGAGGACGAUCAGCCACACUGGAACUGAGAUACGGUCCAGACUCCUACGGGAGGCAGCAGUGGGGAAUAUUGGACAAUGGGCGAAAGCCUGAUCCAGCUAUGCCGCGUGAGUGAAGAAGGCCUUCGGGU
rnacentral:rRNA from 1 species